rnacentral:rRNA from 1 species
AGAGUUUGAUCAUGGCUCAGAUUGAACGCUGGCGGAAUGCUUUACACAUGCAAGUCGAGCGGCAGCGCGGGGGCAACCCUGGCGGCGAGCGGCGAACGGGUGAGUAAUACAUCGGAACAUGUCCAGUUGUGGGGGAUAGCCCGGCGAAAGCCGGAUUAAUACCGCAUGAGCUCGAGAGAGGAAAGCGGGGGACCGUAAGGCCUCGCGCGACUGGGUUGGCCGAUGUCCGAUUAGCUAGUUGGUGGGGUAAAGGCCUACUAAGGCGAUGAUCGGUAGCUGGUCUGAGAGGAUGAUCAGCCACACUGGGACUGAGACACGGCCCAGACUCCUACGGGAGGCAGCAGUGGGGAAUUUUGGACAAUGGGGGAAACCCUGAUCCAGCCAUUCCGCGUGAGUGAAGAAGGCCUUCGGGUUGUAAAGCUCUUUUGUCCGGAGCGAAACGGUUACGGUGAAUAUCCGUGACUACUGACGGUACCGGAAGAAUAAGCACCGGCUAACUACGUGCCAGCAGCCGCGGUA